rnacentral:lncRNA from 1 species
GGAAUUUUAAAAUGUAUUCAAAUAAUCCAAAAAAUGUAGGCAAAAAGUAAAAGAAGGGACAGAAGGAAAACAAAUAAUAAAAUCAUGGACCUAAAUAUUAAAUGUUAAUGAACAUUCCAAUUAAAAGGUAGAGAUUAUCAGAACAAAUUUAAAAAAUACCAAGAGAUAUACUUUAAAAAUAAAGACACAGAUAGAUCAAAAGCAAUUGUAUGCAAAAAGAUAUAGCAUCCAAACAGUAAUGAUACGAUGGCUAACAUGGAUGUAUUAGUGCCAGAUUAAAUAAACUUCAGGAAAAGCUGGGCUUCUCUUUCACAGCAAAGAUGGAUUCUGAGGUGGAUGGGGAGUUCAGCUUCCCAGGGUGGCUUCCCAAGGUGGCGAAGGCUGUGGCCACACCAUGGUCUCAGAUGCUGAGGCAGGCCUAUGUGACUGCCAGUGGGUAGGCCAUGGUGAGUGGAGAAAACAGGCAGUUGUCCCCUCUGCAUGCCCUGCACAUACACCUGGGCUAUGGGCCCCACCAGCGGAUGUUUGUGCAGGGCUCAGCCUUUCCCUCGUUGGUUUCUGGCAGAACUAGGCCUGUGUCCCUUGUUCCUGGGCCAUAGUGCUGAAGUUUGUCUUCUAGGGAUUAGGUUGUAGAUAAAUCAAGUAUUGUAUGGUGGCUUGUGGAAGACAGUUUUGACUCUAAGAUCAGUUCAACAACCGUUAGCUUCAGCUAUAAUCAUUUAUGAUAUCAAAAAGAAGAAAUAUUUUCAACAUUAAGGAAUUGAUUACAUGAUUUUUAAGUUUUUUUUCUUUCUUGUAUCAAGGGACAAGUCAUAGAUUAAAAAAUUUUUGACAGCAAGCCCUAUCUAAUUUUAUAGUUGACAAAUGUGUGCUAUUAUCACAAAGGAGAAGUCAGAGAAAGAUGCUACAGACUGCGCCAAUUCAUUCAUACAAUUUUUCUGUAGUUCAAAAACCACAAUGUCUCACAUUGUCUAGCAGCUAGAAUUUUUUUAUUUAUUUAUUUUUUUUUUUAGUUUAAGAAAAGCAAAAGACCACAGUGAACUUAAAUGAACUCUUUAAACAAAUGAGUUGAAUAAUUCCAUCCACUUACACUAACACCCCAUCUGGUAGUAAGGCCUUUAGACUCCAAAGACAAUCUAGAGGCAAAGUGGAAGCUAUUGUUGGCUGAGCCUCAGUCACUCAUACUUCAUAAUGAAAUAGAUAGUUUUAAAAGUUAACAGGAUGAUUCUGGUCACUGCCAUUAGUUUGUACAUGGGUUUUGGGUCUUUUUCACACACAAAGGAUUCCCAGAAAUGUCUAAGUUUUGUUCUCUUUAUCAUUUUUUAUUGCGUCUAUUUGAUUCUUCUCUCUUUUCUUCUUUAUUAGUCUUGCUAGCGCUCUAUCAAUUUUGUUGAUCCUUUCAAAAAACCAGCUCCUGGAUUCAUUAAUUUUUUGAAGGGUUUUUUGUGUCUCUAUUUCCUUCAGUUCUGCUCUGAUUUUAGUUAUUUCUUGCCUUCUGCUAGCUUUUGAAUGUGUUUGCUCUUGCUUUUCUAGUUCUUUUAAUUGUGAUGUUAGGGUGUCAAUUUUAGAUCUUUCCUGCUUUCUCCUGUGGGCAUUUAGUGCUAUAAAUUUCCCUCUGCACACUGCUUUGAAUGUGUCCCAGAGAUUCUGGUAUGCUGUGUCUUUGUUCUUGUUGGUUUCAAAGAACAUCUUUAUUUCUGCCUUCAUUUCGUUAUGUACCCAGUAGUCAUU